AGCAGUCGCGGUAAUUCCAGCUCCAAUAGCGUAUAUUAAAGUUGUUGCAGUUAAAAAGCUCAUAGUUGAAUUUCGGGGUUAGUAGGUCGGUCAUGCCACUGGUAUGUACUGGUCUCACUGAUUCCUCCUUCCUGAUGAACCGUAAUGCCAUUAAUUUGGUGUUGCGGGGAGACUGGACUGUUACUUUGAAAAAAUUAGAGUGUUUAAAGCAGGCUCGCGCUUGAAUACAUUAGCAUGGAAUAAUGAAAUAGGACGUUUGAUUCUAUUUUGUUGGUUUCUAGGAUCGACGUAAUGAUUAAUAGGGAUAGUUGGGGGCAUUAGUAUUCAAUUGUCAGAGGUGAAAUUCUUGGAUUUAUUGAAGACUAACUACUGCGAAAGCAUUUGCCAAGGAUGUUUUCAUUAAUCAAGAACGAAAGUUAGGGGAUCGAAGACGAUCAGAUACCGUCGUAG
rnacentral:rRNA from 1 species